rnacentral:misc_RNA from 1 species
GAAAUGCGAUAAGUAAUGCGAAUCGCAACAGCUCGCGAGUCAUCAAAUCUUUGAACGCACACUGCGCUCUACGCAAGUAGAGCAUGCCUGUUUGAGUAUCAGUCCGCCCCUCAUUCAGUUAGAAUGGAAAUGAGUUUCAGCAGAUAAUUUCUAUCUACUGUCGCUUUAAAUAGAGUUUGGAGGCAGAGACGUUGCUAAUGUUUCGUCAUACUGUCCAAUCACAUUACAUUGAUCUCAAAUCAGGCAAGAAGACCGGCUGAACUUAA